rnacentral:rRNA from 1 species
AUGGCUCAGGAUGAACGCUAGCUACAGGCUUAACACAUGCAAGUCGAGGGGCAGCAUUUUAGUUUGCUUGCAAACUGAAGAUGGCGACCGGCGCACGGGUGAGUAACACGUAUCCAACCUGCCGAUAACUCCGGAAUAGCCUUUCGAAAGAAAGAUUAAUACCGGAUAGCAUACGAAUAUCGCAUGAUAUUUUUAUUAAAGAAUUUCGGUUAUCGAUGGGGAUGCGUUCCAUUAGUUUGUUGGCGGGGUAACGGCCCACCAAGACUACGAUGGAUAGGGGUUCUGAGAGGAAGGUCCCCCACAUUGGAACUGAGACACGGUCCAAACUCCUACGGGAGGCAGCAGUGAGGAAUAUUGGUCAAUGGGCGAGAGCCUGAACCAGCCAAGUAGCGUGAAGGAUGAAGGCUCUAUGGGUCGUAAACUUCUUUUAUAUGGGAAUAAAGUUUUCCACGUGUGGAAUUUUGUAUGUACCAUAUGAAUAAGGAUCGGCUAACUCCGUGCCAGCAGCCGCGGUAAUACGGAGGAUCCGAGCGUUAUCCGGAUUUAUUGGGUUUAAAGGGAGCGUAGGUGGAUUGUUAAGUCAGUUGUGAAAGUUUGCGGCUCAACCGUAAAAUUGCAGUCGAAACUGGCAGUCUUGAGUACAGUAGAGGUGGGCGGAAUUCGUGGUGUAGCGGUGAAAUGCUUAGAUAUCACGAAGAACUCCGAUUGCGAAGGCAGCUCACUAGACUGUCACUGACACUGAUGCUCGAAAGUGUGGGUAUCAAACAGGAUUAGAUACCCUGGUAGUCCACACAGUAAACGAUGAAUACUCGCUGUUUGCGAUAUACAGUAAGCGGCCAAGCGAAAGCAUUAAGUAUUCCACCUGGGGAGUACGCCGGCAACGGUGAAACUCAAAGGAAUUGACGGGGGCCCGCACAAGCGGAGGAACAUGUGGUUUAAUUCGAUGAUACGCGAGGAACCUUACCCGGGCUUAAAUUGCAACAGAAUAUAUUGGAAACAGUAUAGCCGUAAGGCUGUUGUGAAGGUGCUGCAUGGUUGUCGUCAGCUCGUGCCGUGAGGUGUCGGCUUAAGUGCCAUAACGAGCGCAACCCUUAUCUUUAGUUACUAACAGGUCAUGCUGAGGACUCUAGAGAGACUGCCGUCGUAAGAUGUGAGGAAGGUGGGGAUGACGUCAAAUCAGCACGGCCCUUACGUCCGGGGCUACACACGUGUUACAAUGGGGGGUACAGAAGGCGGCUACCUGGUGACAGGAUGCUAAUCCCAAAAACCUCUCUCAGUUCGGAUCGAAGUCUGCAACCCGACUUCGUGAAGCUGGAUUCGCUAGUAAUCGCGCAUCAGCCAUGGCGCGGUGAAUACGUUCCCGGGCCUUGUACACACCGCCCGUCAAGCCAUGAAAGCCGGGGGUACCUGAAGUACGUAACCGCAAGGAGCGUCCUAGGGUAAAACUGGU